GCCGCCUUCGUCUAGUGGUUUAGGACACAAGAUUCUCAUUCUUGUAACACCGGUUCGACUCCGGUAGGCGGCG
rnacentral:tRNA from 1 species